CCGGGAAACCGGGGCUAAUACCGGAUAACAUUUUGAACUGCAUGGUUCGAAAUUGAAAGGCGGCUUCGGCUGUCACUUAUGGAUGGACCCGCGUCGCAUUAGCUAGUUGGUGAGGUAACGGCUCACCAAGGCAACGAUGCGUAGCCGACCUGAGAGGGUGAUCGGCCACACUGGGACUGAGACACGGCCCAGACUCCUACGGGAGGCAGCAGUAGGGAAUCUUCCGCAAUGGACGAAAGUCUGACGGAGCAACGCCGCGUGAGUGAUGAAGGCUUUCGGGUCGUAAAACUCUGUUGUUAGGGAAGAACAAGUGCUAGUUGAAUAAGCUGGCACCUUGACGGUACCUAACCAGAAAGCCACGGCUAACUACGUGCCAGCAGCCGCGGUAAUACGUAGGUGGCAAGCGUUAUCCGGAAUUAUUGGGCGUAAAGCGCGCGCAGGUGGUUUCUUAAGUCUGAUGUGAAAGCCCACGGCUCAACCGUGGAGGGUCAUUGGAAACUGGGAGACUUGAGUGCAGAAGAGGAAAGUGGAAUUCCAUGUGUAGCGGUGAAAUGCGUAGAGAUAUGGAGGAACACCAGUGGCGAAGGCGACUUUCUGGUCUGUAACUGACACUGAGGCGCGAA
rnacentral:rRNA from 1 species